CUUCUCCCAACUCCCACCCCAUCCCUCAAGGUCUGGGAAAGGUAUUAAGACUUGGGGCAUCAUGUGUUGCUGCAAAACUUCAUCAGGGACACUUUCGGCCUCAGGAAAUUAAUCUUCGAAUGGCAUGAGAUGCAUGGGGGCACUUGAGCACUUUGCAAUGUGUGCAAUGAGAAUACAUUUCCAGGAAACUACUCCGCGUUUCCUUCAUCCCCUAAUGACCUGCCUGGGAACAGGCUGCACCUGCACACAGGGUCUCCUUUCCCACUUGAAGAAAAGCACAGCAUAUGCCCAUUCAUCUAGAAUCAUCCUAUCAUGAAUUGUCCCAGUGUGUAAAAUCCUCCAGGGUGGCAAAGGGACAAUUAGGAGUGCGGGCGGCAAUAUGUAAUCAAGGCAGUACACACUGGUAUUAGAAUUUCAUGUUUUUCCCUUUCUUAAGCAUAUUCCAAAACUUGGUGUUAAAAACUAGGCAAUUUUGCCAUUUCUAAAUUCUGGUAUUUUGUAACAGUAAUGGCAGAAGUGAUGAAAAUUUUGAAAAAAAAAUUAUACUGCUUCCAC
rnacentral:lncRNA from 1 species